rnacentral:lncRNA from 1 species
AGGUGAUGCCAAUGAUGCUUAGCAGGAGGCUGCCGAGCUUGUAAAGCUCAGUUCAGUUUAGUGUUGGACGGGACAUGAGCGUUUCCUGGAGCAGUUCUGUCUACAGGAACAGCGUAAAUCAUCUUUGCCAUCGUGCCAGUAUGACAACAGUCAGGAAAAAAACCAAUGCAAGGCUCGCCAAGCAGGAUCAUCAGAACUCUGCCCUCUGCCUCUCCUCCCAAGGCCUCCGGUGAAUCUCAAGCCCCAGCAGCGCAGCUUCGUUACUGCCACUCAGCAGGGAAAGAGGAUCCGUUUCUUCAUGAAUGAAAAUAGGAAUCGACGUUCUAUGCAUUGCAGUGGUAGUUUGUCCCAGCAAAUGGUCUGAGGAGGAUCCCCGGUUACCUGUGGUCUCUAAAUAUUGCACUCAGUGAAUCUCCACAGUCACACCCUGCGGUGCCGCGCAUGGCUGCUGGGAGCUUAAUGGGCAACGCAAUGUUCCUGGUGCUGCGUGUGUGUGUGUGUCCGUGGGCACUUAGUAGUGUCCAACUCUUUGCAACCCCAGGGACUGUAGCCAGCCAGCCUCCUCUGUCCAUGGAAUUUUCCAAGCAAGUGCUGCAUGCUGCUAAGUCAUUCAGUCGUGUCCGACUCUGUGCGACCCUAUGGACAGCAGCCCACCAGGCUCCUCUGCCCACAGGAUUCUCUAUGCAAGAAGACUGGAGUGGGUAAGUGCUGCAUGGAAUUAUGCAAAUAAGAACACAAAUGAAAGGCUUCUAAUUUUACAGAACAGUUGUUAACUUCUUUUACUGAACACUUGGCAUGUGCAAGGUACAGCUCACAAUGCUUUCCCGGUCCUGACUCUUAAUACUUGAAUUACCUGCUAGGACUUCUGUGUAACGAAGCGCCAUAAGCUGGGUGACUGAAACAACAGAAGUUCAUUGUCUCCCGGUCCUGGAGGCUGGAAGUCCAAGACCAGGGUAGGUGCCUUCUGAGGGCAUUGAGGAAGAAUCUGUCCCAUGCCUCUCCCAGCCUCCGGCGAUUUGCUGGCCAUCUUUGCCACUCCCUGGCUUGCAGAAGCGUCCUCCUGAUCUCUGCCUCCAUCUCUGCAUGAUGUUCCCUUUCUGUGUAUCUGUCUGCCAACUUCUCCUUUUAUAACCACACCAACCAUACUGGAGCAGGGCAGGGCUUCUGAAUUAACUGC